rnacentral:rRNA from 1 species
UGGCGAACGGGUGAGUAACACGUGGGCAAUCUGCCCUUCACUCUGGGACAAGCCCUGGAAACGGGGUCUAAUACCGGAUAUGAGCCUGGGAGGCAUCUCCCGGGUUGUAAAGCUCCGGCGGUGAAGGAUGAGCCCGCGGCCUAUCAGCUUGUUGGUGAGGUAACGGCUCACCAAGGCGACGACGGGUAGCCGGCCUGAGAGGGCGACCGGCCACACUGGGACUGAGACACGGCCCAGACUCCUACGGGAGGCAGCAGUGGGGAAUAUUGCACAAUGGGCGCAAGCCUGAUGCAGCGACGCCGCGUGAGGGAUGACGGCCUUCGGGUUGUAAACCUCUUUCAGCAGGGAAGAAGCGCAAGUGACGGUACCUGCAGAAGAAGCGCCGGCUAACUACGUGCCAGCAGCCGCGGUAAUACGUAGGGCGCAAGCGUUGUCCGGAAUUAUUGGGCGUAAAGAGCUCGUAGGCGGCUUGUCACGUCGGGUGUGAAAGCCCGGGGCUUAACCCCGGGUCUGCAUUCGAUACGGGCUGGCUAGAGUGUGGUAGGGGAGAUCGGAAUUCCUGGUGUAGCGGUGAAAUGCGCAGAUAUCAGGAGGAACACCGGUGGCGAAGGCGGAUCUCUGGGCCAUUACUGACGCUGAGGAGCGAAAGCGUGGGGAGCGAACAGGAUUAGAUACC